UACAGAGGGGGCCAGCGUUAUUCGGAAUUACUGGGCGUAAAGAGCUCGUAGGUGGUUUGUCGCGUUGUUCGUGAAAACUCACAGCUCAACUGUGGGCGUGCGGGCGAUACGGGCAGACUGGAGUACUGCAGGGGAGACUGGAAUUCCUGGUGUAGCGGUGGAAUGCGCAGAUAUCAGGAGGAACACCGAUGGCGAAGGCAGCUCUCUGGGACGGUACUGACGCUGAGACGCGAAAGCGUGGGGAGCGAACAGG
rnacentral:rRNA from 1 species